AACGCGAAGAACCUUACCUAGACUUGACAUCUCCUGAAUUACUCUUAAUCGAGGAAGCCCUUCGGGGCAGGAAGACAGGUGGUGCAUGGUUGUCGUCAGCUCGUGUCGUGAGAUGUUGGGUUAAGUCCCGCAACGAGCGCAACCCUUAUUGUUAGUUGCUACCAUUAAGUUGAGCACUCUAGCGAGACUGCCCGGGUUAACCGGGAGGAAGGUGGGGAUGACGUCAAAUCAUCAUGCCCCUUAUGUCUAGGGCUACACACGUGCUACAAUGGCUGGUACAGAGAGAUGCUAAACCGUGAGGUGGAGCCAAACUUUAAAACCAGUCUCAGUUCGGAUUGUAGGCUGAAACUCGCCUACAUGAAGCUGGAGUUGCUAGUAAUCGCGAAUCAGAAUGUCGCGGUGAAUACGUUCCCGGGCCUUGUACACACCG
rnacentral:rRNA from 2 species